rnacentral:rRNA from 1 species
AGAGUUUGAUCCUGGCUCAGAAUGAACGCUGGCGGCGUGCUUAACACGUGCAAGUCGCACGAGAACGCUUUAGCUUGCUAAAGCAAGUAAAGUGGCGCACGGGUGAGUAACGCGUGGGCAAUCUACCUCCGAAUCGGGGAUAACAUUGCGAAAGCGAUGCUAAUACCGGAUGACAUCCUGAAGGCUUUGGUUUUAAGGAUCAAAGGUGGCCUCUACAACUAAGCUACUGUUUGGAGAUGAGCCCGCGUACCAUUAGCUUGUUGGUAGGGUAACGGCCUACCAAGGCGACGAUGGUUAGCUGGUCUGAGAGGAUGAUCAGCCACACUGGAACUGACACACGGUCCAGACUCCUACGGGAGGCAGCAGUGAGGAAUUUUGCGCAAUGGGGGAAACCCUGACGCAGCAACGCCGCGUGAGUGAUGAAGGCUUUCGGGUCGUAAAGCUCUGUCAAGUGGGAAGAAACCACGAGGUGAUAAUAUCGCUUUGUGCUGACGGUACCACUGAAGGAAGCACCGGCUAACUCCGUGCCAGCAGCCGCGGUAAUACGGGGGGUGCAAGCGUUAUUCGGAAUCAUUGGGCGUAAAGGGCGCGUAGGCGGUUUGUUAAGUCAGAUGUGAAAGCCCGGGGCUCAACCCCGGAAGUGCAUUUGAUACUGGCGGACUUGAGUAUGGGAGAGGGAAGUGGAAUUCCUGGUGUAGAGGUGAAAUUCGUAGAUAUCAGGAGGAACACCGGUGGCGAAGGCGACUUCCUGGACCAAUACUGACGCUGAGGCGCGAAGGCGUGGGUAGCAAACAGGAUUAGAUACCCUGGUAGUCCACGCAGUAAACGGUGAUCACUAGGUGUAGCGGGUAUUGACCCCUGCUGUGCCGCAGUUAACGCAUUAAGUGAUCCGCCUGGGGAGUACGGCCGCAAGGUUAAAACUCAAAGGAAUUGACGGGGGCCCGCACAAGCGGUGGAGCAUGUGGUUUAAUUCGACGCAACGCGAAGAACCUUACCUGGGUUUGACAUCUCGGGGAUUUUUUGGAAACAAGAAAGUGCCCUUCGGGGAGCCCGAAGACAGGUGCUGCAUGGCUGUCGUCAGCUCGUGUCGUGAGAAGUUGGGUUAAGUCCCGCAACGAGCGCAACCCUUCUCUUUAGUUACCAUCAUUUAGUUGGGGACUCUAAAGAUACUGCCCCGGUUAACGGGGAGGAAGGUGGGGAUGACGUCAAGUCCU